AGUGAACGCUGGCGGUAGGCCUAACACAUGCAAGUCGAACGGCAGCACAGUAAGAGCUUGCUCUUACGGGUGGCGAGUGGCGGACGGGUGAGGAAUACAUCGGAAUCUACUUUUUCGUGAGGGAUAACGUAGGGAAACUUACGCUAAUACCGCAUACGACCUACGGGUGAAAGCAGGGGAUCUUCGGACCUUGCGCGAUUGAAUGAGCCGAUGUCGGAUUAGCUAGUUGGCGGGGUAAAGGCCCACCAAGGCGACGAUCCGUAGCUGGUCUGAGAGGAUGACCGCCACACUGGGAACUGGGAACCGGUCCAAACCCCUACGGGGGGCACCAGGGGGAAAUUUUGGACAAUGGGCGAAAGCCUGACCCAGCCAUCCCGGGGGGGUGAAGAAGGCCUUCGGGUUGUAAAGCCUUUUUUUUGGGAAAAAAAAGCAGCAGGUUAAUACCCCGCUGUUCGGACGGUACCCAAAAAAUAAGCACCGGCUAACUUCGU
rnacentral:rRNA from 1 species